rnacentral:rRNA from 1 species
GGGCGACUGAAAGGGGAUGAGCCCAGCGCAUAACCUGCCGGUCUUGUUGUGGCCGUGCAGGGGUGUUGCGUUUCGGUGGAUCCGUACCGCUCGAGUUGCUGACCGCCUAAGUCAUUGCUUGAAUGCAGCCCCGAGGAGGGUGGUAGGCCCGUGUGGCGGCGCCUGUAAAAAGGUUUAGAGCAACUUGGGCGGAGGGGUCUUUACCGUAGAGUCGGGUUGCUUAGUACUGCAGCCCUAAGUAGGUGGUAAACUCCAUCUAAGGCUAAAUACUACCACGAGUCCGAUAUUUGACAAGUACCGUGAGGGAAAGCUGAAAAGGACUCUGAAGAGAGAGUUCAAGAGGACGUGAAACCAUUAGAAGCUUAAACGGGUGGAACCGUGAAGGCGGAAAGAGGGGAUUCAGGCCGUGGGCGGACGCGCUAGGCUGGAGGUUGGCUAGCGUGAGAGGACCCGGCUAACUAGUGAGUUGCCGCGGCCCCUUUUGCCGGGUGCGUUGGCCGGCGGGCUUAUUUCUCCCUCGAGUACUGUACGUGGCGAGCCGCUGGCCGGAUGCCGAGGGCCCCUGGGGACUGGUAGCCUGCACCUUUGGUGUGGGUGACGACCCUUUGGGGUACUGUGUGCGUUUGGCCGGCGGUAACUGCGAGNAGGUGC